UACGUAGGGGGCAAGCGUUGUCCGGAUUUAUUGGGCGUAAAGAGCGUGUAGGCGGCUUUACAGGUCCGUUGUGAAAACUCGAGGCUCAACCUCGAGACGCCGAUGGAAACCAUCUGACUAGAGUCCGGAAGAGGAGAGUGGAAUUCCUGGUGUAGCGGUGAAAUGCUUAGAUAUCAGGUGGAACACCAGUGGCGAAGGCGGUGUUCUGGGCCAGUACUGACGCUAAUGCGCGAAAGCGUGGGGAGCGAACAGG
rnacentral:rRNA from 1 species